UCCUUCCGUUUUCAUUUUUCCACCUUCUUGCGUCGCCCGUUUUCAUUUUUCCUCCUCUUUUAAUCGGGUCACCCGUUUUUCUUUUUAUGGAUUCCGUCUUCCACCUCAUUCGCAGAUAAAGAGCUCGAUCGGUUGUCAAAGGAGACAUCUUUGUGGUGCUUCAUCUAUGGUCUCAAACACCUUUGCAGCCGUUUCACACUCAGCAGCUUGAAGGAGAUGGAUCCAAGGGGAUCUGUGGCUCUUCCGACAGCGGAGUGACCUGAUUUUUCCCUUUCUGCUUUAAUACCUUCUCUACUCUGCACUGAUUUCGCCCGACAUUUAUGCUUGAACAGGUUUCACCAGUUCUUUUGGUGGGAUGUGGCUGCAACUCAUAAUGUUUAUUCUCAAAAGAAGCACGAGCACCAACAAAAGAAAAAGCAAAAAGAUACAUUAUUUUUGAAGAAAAUUUUCAGAGAUACAUGCCCUGUUUGAGAUUGAGAUUUGGAAUAUCUGAAGGUGUUAGAACCAUGGAAAGCGAAGAUGCAAUGUAGAGUGACCUGGAGAAAGAGAGCGAGAGAUCUGAAUCGAUGAGCUGUGAUUGAGGCGGGACUAAUUGCAGGCAACAUAGCAUUUGUGUGUAAGCUAUUUGGGAGAUUCAACAGUGCUUUUGGAUUUAUCAUUGAUUUUGGCAUGUUGUAUUACAUGUUUGCACUGGGCAUAUAUACAAAUGGAUCCUUUUGUUGUUUUCGUGCAACCACGCAAGCAUGCUAAACUUGCUUAUGCAGGAGAUAUUUCAACUUUCCUCCUAGCAAUUAUCUUAACCUCGAUGAUCAAUAUGAGCAUGCCUGCAUUUCGUGUAACUGACUGCCUUGGGGCUUUUCGGAUGAAGUUUGAAUGGAGACAUGUUUAUUUCUUUUUGCUCUAUUAAGCCAAUCUAAUCCAAAUCUGGGAACAUAAAUUGAGGCCCUUGAAGCAUGUUAGGGGGCACUUAUGCUAUUGCUGUGAAGGACACAAGCUAGUUAACAUGAAAUUCGUUAGUCUCCUAAUGAAUGAAUCAUAAGAUUCACUUGAAGAUUGUUAGCAAAUGCAACAUCAAAUGUGAUAGUGGUGGAGAUUCAUGCAAGGAAUAAUUAUUGCAGCUAAGUAUGCCUUACAUAGAAUAAAGAUUCAUGUAAAGCCGUAAAGGAAUAAUUAUUGGUUUCUCAGUACAUAUCGUUUAAUUUGAGUUAUGAAAUAUAACUUCUGUUAUUGGUUUUUGAAACAAAGUGUGGAAGAUUGCUCACAGCUAGGAUAUUUUUUUUCUCCAAAGAAGAUGAAAGAUGAAGGAAGGAUCUCUUUCUCUGCUUCUUUUUCAAUUAUAGGCUUUUGUUCUUAUUUGUUUUCAUGUUGGUUCCUAGUACUUGGGCUACCUAGUCUUUGAAAUAUAUCUCCUUCUAAAUCUUGGCUAAGGCAUAUGACCUGAUUUUCAAUUUUAGGCUUUUGUUUUUAUUUGUUUUCAUGUUGGUUACAGAAGUUUGUAGAUAGAAGUUAUGAGCAGAAACAUGGUAUAAGUUUGGUGCCCUGUGAAAACUGACUUUAAAGAUUUGAAUAGCAUGGAUCACUUGCAUUGUUUCCUUCUAUCUUGAUUAAUAGUAGACUUUUUGUAUCAAUCAUUUCCUAUAAUUGGUGCAUCAAUCAUUUAUGUAGACUUCGUUCUGGGAAAAGAAUUACUCAAUUAUUUUAUAUGUUGUGUAAAAUGCCAAUGUACUCUUUCAUAGACUUCAAGGGAAGGAAGGUAAAGAGUGGAAAGUUAUAAUAAUAAGUUCACUGUGCACCAAUUGGACUAGUGAGAUUAAUUUGGACUGUCCCUCAUGAGACUGAAGAACUUUUACAAGUGGUACCAUUUAUGCAACAUGGAUGUUAUUGCAGUCGGAGAUUUUUCUGAUACCUAAGUUCUUUUGUUUUAGUGUUCAUGAGGAAAAUAUGACUUCAAGCCUGAUUUUGGCCAGAAAAUUAUAGCUACUGAUCCUAUGCUUAUAUUAUACCAACAUUCCAGUUCCAGGUCCCAUCACAUGAUGAGCCACGGCUUUCUUGCUUUGUUGAAUCUGAAGCUGCUGGUGUAACUUGUGCACUACUGAUGUCAGAAAUUGAAUCUUCCUUUAUGGAGCAAAAUCAAGUUCAAUCUACCAGCUUGAGAGAUGAAUAUUUACAAGUAUGUUGAUAUUAUAUUUCAUUUUUACAUUAAAAUGACUGAUAACAAAUUGUGGUUGAUUUUGGAGAUAAUAUUCUCACUGUUCCUGCAACACUCCACAAUGUACCUGUUGUUGUAAAUUGUAAUUGAGUAUGAAGCUCAACUCCAAAAUACUCUUCUACCACGUGAGUUGAUAAUAUAUAUAUCACUAGGAUUAUACCCGUGCGAU